GACGAACGCUGGCGGCGUGCCUAAUACAUGCAAGUAGAACGCUGAAGGAGGAGCUUGCUUCUCUGGAUGAGUUGCGAACGGGUGAGUAACGCGUAGGUAACCUGCCUGGUAGCGGGGGAUAACUAUUGGAAACGAUAGCUAAUACCGCAUAAUAGUAGAUGUUGCAUGACAUUUGCUUAAAAGGUGCAAUUGCAUCACUACCAGAUGGACCUGCGUUGUAUUAGCUAGUUGGUGAGGUAACGGCUCACCAAGGCAACGAUACAGAGCCGACCUGAGAGGGGGAUCAGCCACACUGGGACUGAGACACGGCCCAGACUCCCACGGGAGGCAGCAGUAGGGAAACUUCGGCAAUGGACGGAAGUCUGACCGAGCAACGCCGCGUGAGUGAAGAAGGUUUUCGGAUCGUAAAGCUCUGUUGUAAGAGAAGAACGAGUGUGAGAGUGGAAAGUUCACACUGUGACGGUAUCUUACCAGAAAGGGACGGCUAACUACGUG
rnacentral:rRNA from 1 species